AUUAAUCGAAGUUUACAGCGCCACACCACGGUGAAAUGUGGACUACACUUCCUACGAUUCUCGAACGUAAAUCGAUAUUUCUCAUGAUCGACUUUUAAGCGGGAGAGCACCUUUAAUGGCGGAAAGGAGCACACCUCAUCUGUGAAGAAGGAAGUGUUAUUCAGAAAAAUCAUCCAGAAAAGUCUCAUACAGAAGUUCUGAGGAAACGCGUGAUUACAGCUCCACAUCACGGUGAAAUAUGGAAUACGCUUCCUACAAUUCUCGAACGUCAAUCGAUAUUUCUCAUGAUCGAUUUUUAAGCGGGAGAGCAGACCUUUAAUGGCGGAAGGAAGCACACCUCAACUGUAAAGAAGGAAGUGUUAUUCAGAAAAAUCAUCCAGAAAAGUGUCAUACAGAAGUUCUGAGGUUAUUCCUUGAUUGCAGAAGUACCAUUGAACGUAUAGAUGCCACGAUCAUUAAUGGACAAUUUGAUGAACUCUUAUGGACAUUUGGCAACAUUUUAUUCAUUUUGGGUAACAUUUGUCAGUGCUCAAGAGGAUAAGGCCUCUUCAGGAGAUCAAGAUC